rnacentral:misc_RNA from 1 species
UUUUUGCGUGAGGGGUGGAGUGGAGCUCUUUUUUUAUCCCGUUUUUUUGCGGGAUAAAAAAAAGCGGGAACGGAGACCCGACCCGAA